UACGAAGGGGGCUAGCGUUGCUCGGAUUUACUGGGCGUAAAGCGCACGUAGGCGGAUUGUUAAGUGAGGGGUGAAAUCCCAGGGCUCAACCCUGGAACUGCCUUUCAUACUGGCAAUCUCGAGUCCGGAAGAGGUGAGUGGAACUCCUAGUGUAGAGGUGGAAUUCGUAGAUAUUAGGAAGAACACCAGUGGCGAAGGCGGCUCACUGGACCGGUACUGACGCUGAGGUGCGAAAGCGUGGGGAGCAAACAGG
rnacentral:rRNA from 1 species